CUGGGGGAGCAGCUGGAGCAAGGACAGGUCUUCAGGAGAGGUAUCCAGACUCACAGCACCCUGGGACUGGGCAGCAGCGUGAUGCUCAAGAUUGCGCUCUGCAGAGCAAGAAGCGACCGCAAAGACAAGAAGAAAAGGCUCCACUGUGAUUUUAAAACUGAGCUUGCACUUCUGGCACAGAGCAGCAGUGGCUGAGCAGCAUCCUGGAGUACAGGAAGCCAAACAAUAACACCAUCCCAGAUUACAGGAGUGGAGAGAAUCGAGGGGAUGUAGAUGGAGAAGUCAAAUUUUUCUGCUCUGAUCCUUGGCACAGCUCUUCCUCUCUCGGUGUUUAAUCCACAUCAUCCCUCCUACACCAGAGGUUCCAGGACCCCCACAAGCCUGUGUCUCAACUCAGGCAUCAUAACAGCCUGAACCAGUGGCUUGAGCACAUCUGUGCCCUCUGAGGGGCUUGGUUCCUCGAACCCAUCACCAUCCUCAAGGCCUGGAGCAGUGGGACAUGCAGUGCAGUGCUUGUUCUGCCUUUUGCCCACGGAGCUGCCUUGCAACCACGCUGCAGGUCACCUGUCCUCGUUGCUGCCCACCUCCCCUGCCUGCCAGGGCCUGCAGGGUUUGGGAUGAAGUACCUUUGCUGUUUACAUCUGGUCCUCAGGGACCAUUUCCCUGCCAGGACAUCAUGGUUCAGAGCCAAAUAAUCCACUCCCACUGAGGGACUCGGCUCUGUAGGACUCAAGGGAGAUCUCAGGAGGAAAAAUCUUAAUGCAAUACAGCAAAAGCUAGAGAAGUCCUGGGGGUUUUGGGGUAAGUGCUUGCUGAUGUGUGUGAGGAGGGAGAUCACCCUGUAGACUUCUCAGUAAAUCUGUGCCCAAGCUGUCAGUGUGAGGAAUAACAGCAGCCCACAAUUUAUGCUUAAACUUAAAGUGUGUCUCUAGAGGUGAUGUGUAAAUGAGAUUAAGGACAUGAGAUCUAAAACUGAGAGGGAGGGCAGUGGUAAACACAUCUUCCUUCCUAAAUUAGCCCUGCCCUGAUCGCUAAAUCAUUAAGGUUGGAAAAGACCUCUAAAACUGUGGAGUGGAGGCAUUGACCCAGCAGUGCCAAGCCCAUCAGUAACCCCGGUCCCCAGGCACCACACCCACACCCUUUUGGAACAUUUCCAGGGACAGCAAUUCCACCACAUCUCUGGGCAGCCUCUUCCAAUGCUGACCACCCUUGCAGUGUAGAAGUUUUUCCUGAUAACCUCACAUAAAUGAUGACAAGGGAUGGAAACUUUGCUGCCUGCCCCAUCCUGCGGCUGCAGCAUCAGCCAGCUCUGCCCUGUGGAAGCAGAGGAUGGGGGAAGGUGUGGGUGCCCCAGCAGUGACAGGACAGGCGGGAUCCGGCCCCACCUGACGCCACCUGGAUGCUGCAGGAGUGGCAGCAAAGGAGUUAAAUUUGGUUUCCUCGUGGGGAAGAGGCUUGUGAGGGAAGCAGGUUAAAAAAAAAAAAAAAAAAAAAAAAAUUUGCUUGGCUUCAUCUUUCUCUCAUUUUAGAAAAAUUAAUUUUUGAGAAACCUCCACAGUUUCACUAUUUCUGGUGCUUAAAUCAGGCCGCCUGACAGCCUGUCCGGGGCUAUUUAUGGGCUCCCUCGCCGUAGCCACGGCCGGAGAGCGCGGCUCCAUCUGCGGACCACGAGUGCCAUCUUCUGGGAGCCUGCAGCCGCACCCCCCUCCUCCUCCCCGGAGCAUCCCCGGGCUGCGCCGUAAAUCCCGACUACGGAGGGAAAAGUUUCUCUACACCGAGCCUCCCCCUGGGGUUCUGCACCGCUGGGUACCAGGGCACAGCCGGCUGCAGGGCUCCUCGCUGUCCUGUGGGGAAACUGAGGCAGACACGGUUGCUGUGUGUGCUCUGAUGCGCGGAAGGCUCUGGGAUGUUCUGUGGUCUCUGACACACCCAAGAGGCUCGGGAUCAGGAGGGGAUGUUGUGCCCCAGGCUCGCUCUCAAUUUGGGGCUCUCCUCUAGCAUCAAGUAACAAACUGAAACCUGCCUUCUCUUUUCUCUUUUAAUAUUCCAUUAAGGAGAGAUAAUUUUCUUUGUGCAUCAAGAUUUAACUCCAGAAUUGUGCACUGUAUGAUAUUCUUGGUGUAUCAUCCGCACCUGGCAAAAUCUCAAUGAAGGGCAACGUUGGAAUGAAACUUUUUGCUUAAAAUGAAGAAUGAAGGAAUUGCUUGAGCUGGAGCACAGGGCAGUGAGGCUGCAGGGAGAAGAUGCUCAAAGCACCCCAGGAAAGGAGACAGAGGCCAUAAUGUGGGAGCAGUGCCCCUCCUGCAGAGGUUUACAAAGGCUUUUGUUUCUUUUCCGGUAAAACUCACCAGAGUGUUUUGCUCAGGUCUGAUUUAUGGCGAUGGAAGUGACCAGGCAUACAAUCCAGCAGUGGUGGUGGCACAGAGGGGGCUGCCAGACUGGCCCAGAGCAAACAUGCCCAGGAGAAGCCCAGGAACCAGCCUGAUCAGUGAGUGUGGGCCUGCUUGAGGCUCGUACAGUGAUUCCCGUGGUUAAAGGUGGGGAAGCGCUCCCCUGGUGCCUGGCACUAGUGUGUGGGUGAUAGGAUGUCAAAAAAACCCUGCUGCUGGUUAUUGCAGCGCCUACAGCAGCUCUGUGUGUGCAGUGCAUCAGCAGAGGAACGUGUGUGAGGUGCAGUGUGGGAUGUGCAGCAGCGACA